CAGAAUGUAGCUAAUUAGUAAAGCGCCUCCCUUACACCGAGAAAAAGUCUAUGCAACUUGGACCAUUUUGA
rnacentral:tRNA from 1 species